GAUGAACGCUGGCGGCGUGCCUAAUACAUGCAAGUCGAGCGAACAGACGAGAAGCUUGCUUCUCUGAUGUUAGCGGCGGACGGGUGAGUAACACGUGGAUAACCUACCUAUAAGACUGGGAUAACUUCGGGAAACCGGAGCUAAUACCGGAUGAUAUUUUGAACCGCAUGGUUCAAAAGUGAAAGACGGUCUUGCUGUCACUUAUAGAUGGAUCCGCGCUGCAUUAGCUAGUUGGUAAGGUAACGGCUUACCAAGGCAAUGAUGCAUAGCCGACCUGAGAGGGUGAUCGGCCACACUGGAACUGAGACACGGUCCAGACUCCUACGGGAGGCAGCAGUAGGGAAUCUUCCGCAAUGGGCGAAAGCCUGACGGAGCAACGCCGCGUGAGUGAUGAAGGUCUUCGGAUCGUAAAACUCUGUUAUUAGGGAAGAACAUAUGUGUAAGUAACUGUGCACAUCUUGACGGUACCUAAUCAGAAAGCCACGGCUAACUACGUG
rnacentral:rRNA from 1 species